AGCAAUGCAGACCGGGCGCAGCCGCGAGAACCACCGGCCGUCGGCCGACCAGACCUUUAGAAGCUUGUGCCUUUCCGCUCCGGUUCUGCAAUGCCACCCCGCGCCAGCGCCGCCGCCGUCCGCGCACGGGCGCCGCAGCACCGGGCUGUAGGUUCGUCGGUCUCAGGUCACCGCGGCAUCCCUGGAGGAGAGAGGGCCGUCAGCGGCGCGCGAGGGGAGCGGGAGUCCGCGGAUGCGCGCGGGAACUCGUCGGAGGCUCGCACGGGGCCAUGGCGGCGGGUCUAGCGGAGGUCACCGGCGGCAGCGCGACAUCGCCGUCGGCCAUGUCGCCGGCCCGAAUGUUUACAGAUAAUCCCCUGUUUUGUCUGCCCGUGCUCCGGCGUACCUCGCGGCCUUCCAUUCCAGCCGGCGACGCCGCCGGCCCCCCCAACAUCUUUGCAGCCGGAAGCGCGAAGAUCCAUCCCCAUUGGAGCCCUAGCACAAACCAGCUCUCCGGCAGCAAGAAAAGCAAGCACUCCGUUCGCCGUCGCCACAUCCGAACCGAGAAAGAGUCACGCGCUCGACACGGCGCCGCAUCGCGGCGGGCGGUGCUGAAGAGGCUUUACAGAAUCCUUCUAUAAAGUUUCUUGGUCUUUAUUAGGUGAGGAAUCCUCUUGCUGAGGUUUUGAGGCAGCCAUAUUUCGUUGUCUGGGACAACAGUGAUCUUGUCACUCAUGAGGUGGUGGGCGGCCUCAAGAAUGUCUAUGCUAUUGGAGCUGGUAACACUAUCUUCUCACUUUUUUACACUAAAUUUUGCUUUCCCAGCCCUGAAAUUGGCCCUAUUGGCAUUCUACCCUUCAUGUUGGUUGCUUAUGAUGUUGAAUAAAGCAUAAGUGCAUACCAUACAUGGCAGUG